GAUUGCAUCCCCACGGCCUAUGUAUUAGGAGCCAUGAAGAAGUAGAAGGGGAUGAAAAUAAUGCAGAGUAAUGGGCACGGGAGUGGAGUGGUGACUGUCGGUGUUAACUCGGUCUCUGUUCAUCGAGUGGGGCUGAUGUAGAUGGGAUGGAAGAGGGAGGCGGGGAUGAGGGCAAGAUUUCAAGCACCAAUAGAGAUGUGUGUAGUAAUGGCUAAUGCAUGGCUUUUCCAGCUGCUCUUCCAGAGGAAUUGUCCAGAAGCCCUCAACGGAGAAGAAGCUGGCAGAGGUGGACCUGCUCAGCCUGAACAUCCUUCUAAGCAAACAUGAACAGUCCUCAGCUUUCUGCCUCCCGCUUUACUGGCUGUGAGUAAGAGUGCCGAGGGAAAUGAAGUCACACGUCAGAUUCUAUUGCCCUCAUGCGAUGGAAAGUGAGUGAGAGCAGCGAGCCUGUGAGCAUUGUUCAUGCCAGGCAAGAGCCGUCCAUUUGGGAGCCAAGCCGACGCCACCGACACUGAGAUAAGUUUCUGUUUUGUUGAGGGUUCUGCUCACGCUCCAUCUGACUCCAGGUAGAGAUGCACCAUCGGCUGGGGCAGGGUUGGUAAGAAAAGAUUCCUGACUAGCUGUGGUUUUGAGGGAGACAAGGUCUCCAUUUUCAGGGGCUGCUCAUGUCUUUAGCCAGGACUGGUGUGUCCUCCUCAGCGUAUUAGAUCCAGGAGGAUGACUCCAGUUGGUGAGUUUCUUGAUUCUAUCCCACCGUUUUCUCUCUCUCUCCUCUAAUGUGUUGGCCAACACACACACUGUCUCUGUCUCUCUCUCUCUAUCUGUCCUUGCCUCACCUUGUACUGUAUCCCUUCACAUGACAUGGGCAGGUGUGGUAGGUGUGCAUCCCCACAGGCUAGGUCUUGUUAGCUGUGAACAAGUAGGGGACCGAAAUAGUACAGGGCAGUGGGCACUAGAGUGCAGCAGUGACUGUGGGUGUUGACUGAGUCUCUGCCCUUGUGGGGUGAUGUAGAUGGGAUGAGAGAGGGAGGCGGGGAUGAGGGCAAGAUUAAAUGCACCAAUAGAGCUCUGUGUAGUGACGGUACUUGCUUGCCUUUAUUAGUUUGCAGAGGAAUCAUCCAGGAGCCCUCGCCGGACGAGAAUAUGCAGAACUGGACCUAAGCAGCCUGGACAUCCUUCUAAGGAGACUUGAAUAGUCCUCAGAUUUCUUCCUUCUGCAUAACUGGGCUGUGAGUAAGAGCACAACCAGGAGGGAAAAUCAAAGGUUAAGAGCCCACCCCCGUUGUGAGAUGGAAAGCGCGCAAGAGCCAUGAGACAGCGAGCGUUGUUGAUUCCAGGCUAUGCAGAUGACGUCGAGCUGGGAGUGGAGCAGCCGUCACCAUCAGUGAGAUAAGUGUCUGGUUUGGGGAGGACUCUGGUAACUGCCUGCGUGCCUCCAGGCUGGGAAUUAACAUUAGCUGGAGCUCAGUUUGUUGGAAAAGAGUCCUGACUCGGGAGACAAGAUUUUCAAGAUCUGGUUAUUUCUGUGGCUAGGAGUGUGUCUCUUCUGCAGCAGAAGGUUGGA